UAAUUUUUCCAAAUUAGUCAACUGGGUUUUAUAUUAAAGAUUAGAAGUAGUAUUAAAAUGUCUUUUUAACAAAAGAGGCUAAAAUGAAGGGGGAAUCAAAAUCAAAAUGGGAAUGAAAAAUAAAAUUAAUGUGCUUAUUUUACCGUUUCUCUAAUCAUCCCCUAAAUACUCUUAACUAGUGGCUAUCACUUUACUAUUACAUUUUAGUUUCACUCCUGCAAUAGUCUUGGUAUAAUUUGUGUAGUACUAAAGAGCAACAUAGUGAUGAUAAUUAAAAUUAUAACGAGAUUCUUCCACUAGCUUGUUUGCUAACAUAUUGAAAAGUUGAUUACAGUAAACUACUACCUCUGGUCCUAAAAGUAGAUCUUAUAUUUAGAAUCGGAGGUGGGAAUUUGUGACUGUUUUUACAGCCUUGUGUCUCCCCAGGAGAACUGAUGUUCAAUUCUUGCCAGAAAGUUCUGAAUCCUAAACUUUGUAAAGGGAUCAUGGACAAAGGAGGUGCAAUGCCGGGAGAGGUGGCAUAAUCACCCAGACCCGCUUUAAGUCCUGAUCAGAUGCGAAGUUUUUGGGGGAUGGCGAUUGUUGCAGCCCUCUUUUGAGCCAACCAGCAUUGGCUAGUUACAAGGAGGAGGCUGAAGAUGACGUGAGAAAUAAAAGAAACGGGGUUCAAAGUUAAAACUUGUAUCCUGCACAGUUAUUCCUGGUAGAAAAUUUGGCUUCGCCCACAGAAUCUAUUAAAAGAAACCCCAUCAAUGGUUAUUGUUAUAUUAUACUCCUCCGAAGGUUGUCCCGAGAAGCCUAGCUAUGACUUAUGACAAUAGUCCUUCCAUCAUUAGGAGGAGAACUCACAGUAAUUAAAAGCAACUCCUAAAGCUGUAUGUCUUGGUGUGAAUAUUUUACACAAUUUGAAUUCGAUCGUUGCAGGGUGGUGUCACGUUGUUCAUGUAUAAAUCAAUUACCUCUGCCA